rnacentral:rRNA from 1 species
UACGUAGGUGGCAAGCGUUGUCCGGAAUUACUGGGCGUAAAGGGUGCGUAGGCGGAUAUUUAAGUGGGAUGUGAAAUACCUGAGCUCAACUCGGGUGCUGCAUUCCAAACUGGAUAUCUAGAGUGCAGGAGAGGAGAAUGGAAUUCCUAGUGUAGCGGUGAAAUGCGUAGAGAUUAGGAAGAACACCAGUGGCGAAGGCGAUUCUCUGGACUGUAACUGACGCUGAGGCACGAAAGCGUGGGUAGCAAACAGG